rnacentral:rRNA from 1 species
AUUGAACGCUGGCGGCAUGCCUUACACAUGCAAGUCGAACGGCAGCACGGGAGCAAUCCUGGUGGCGAGUGGCGAACGGGUGAGUAAUAUAUCGGAACGUGCCCAGUAAUGGGGGAUAGCCCGGCGAAAGCCGGAUUAAUACCGCAUACGACCUACGGGUGAAAGCGGGGGAUCGCAAGACCUCGCGUUAUUGGAGCGGCCGAUAUCAGAUUAGCUUGUUGGUGGGGUAAAAGCCUACCAAGGCGACGAUCUGUAGCUGGUCUGAGAGGACGACCAGCCACACUGGGACUGAGACACGGCCCAGACUCCUACGGGAGGCAGCAGUGGGGAAUUUUGGACAAUGGGCGCAAGCCUGAUCCAGCCAUGCCGCGUGCGGGAAGAAGGCCU